rnacentral:rRNA from 1 species
AGUGAACGCUGGCGGCGUGCUUAACACAUGCAAGUCGAACGAGAACGGAUUAUAGCUUGCUAUAAUUGUCAGCUAAGUGGCGCGCGGGUGAGUAAUGUAUAGGUAAUAUGCCUCUUACUAAGGGAUAACAAAUGGAAACGUCUGCUAAUACCUUAUACUCCUUAUUAACAGAAGUUAAUAAAGGAAAGAUUUAUUGGUAAGAGAUUAGCCUGUAUUGUAUCAGUUAGUUGGUGGGGUAAUGGCUUACCAAGACUAUGACACAUAACUGGUUUGAGAGGAUGAUCAGUCACACUGGAACUGAGACACGGUCCAGACUCCUACGGGAGGCAGCAGUGGGGAAUAUUGCACAAUGGACGAAAGUCUGAUGCAGCAACGCCGCGUGGAGGAUGACACAUUUCGGUGCGUAAACUCCUUUUAUAUGAGAAGAUAAUGACGGUAUUAUAUGAAUAAGCACCGGCUAACUCCGUGCCAGCCGCCGCAGUAA